rnacentral:sRNA from 5 species
UGUAUCUGAAGCCCGACGAGGAUGAGAACCUCCGGGGGCAAGAGCGCAGCGAGAGAACGUUGCGUCAGCAACGGCCCGCAGGGCGAGCCACGCAGUGGCGAGUCAUCCUCUAUCACCGACCA